rnacentral:rRNA from 1 species
AUUGAACGCUGGCGGCAGGCUUAACACAUGCAAGUCGAGCGGGGGAAGGUAGCUUGCUACCGGACCUAGCGGCGGACGGGUGAGUAAUGCUUAGGAAUCUGCCUAUUAGUGGGGGACAACAUCUCGAAAGGGAUGCUAAUACCGCAUACGUCCUACGGGAGAAAGCAGGGGAUCUUCGGACCUUGCGCUAAUAGAUGCGCCUAAGUAGGAUGAGCUAGUUGGUGGGGUAAAGGCCUACCAAGGCGACGAGCUGUAGCGGGUCUGAGAGGAUGAUCCGCCACACUGGGACUGAGACACGGCCCAGACUCCUACGGGAGGCAGCAGUGGGGAAUAUUGGACAAUGGGGGGAACCCUGAUCCAGCCAUGCCGCGUGUGUGAAGAAGGCCUUAUGGUUGUAAAGCACUUUAAGCGAGGAGGAGGCUACUCUAGUUAAUACCUAGGGAUAGUGGACGUUACUCGCAGAAUAAGCACCGGCUAACUCUGUGCCAGCCGCCGCCGUAA